rnacentral:lncRNA from 1 species
GUUAAAAUGUGCAUUGUUAAGUGUCUUAUUGUUGUGGCUGUCAAAAAUCAUUGGAAUUUAUUUCAGCUGGAUGUUAAUAAUGAUUUCUUACAUGGUGAUUUGGAUGAGGAGGUUUAUAUGAAGCUCCCUCCAGGUUUGACAGUUUCUGCUCCUGCUUCUGUUUCUGCCUCCUCUACCUCUGAUGGUGAUUUGGAUGAGGAGGUUUAUAUGAAGCUCCCUCCAGGUUUGACAGUUUCUGCUCCUACUUCUGUUUCUGCCUCAUCUACCUCUGCUCCCCUUGUUUGCAAAUUGAAUAAAUCCCUGUAUGGGUUGAGACAGGAAUCCAGACAAUGGUAUGCCAAAUUGUCUUCUGCCCUCUAUUCCAGAGGUUAUAGACACUCUUUAAAUGAUUAUUCCUUAUUCAUCAAAGGUACACCAGGGUCCCUUGUGAUUGUAGCAGUCUAUGUGGAUGAUAUCAUUCUUACUGGGAAUGAAAGUGAUAAAAAUUUGUGCCCUGAAACUGUUUCUGGAUGAUUAGUUUAAAAUUAAGGACCUAGGGUCUUUGCAUUAUUUUUUAGGCAUAGAGAUGUCAGUUAUUCCUGGUGGGAUGAUCCUUAAUCAGCAGAAAUAUAUCUCUGACCUGCUGC